AAACUUAAGCAUAUCAAUAAGCGGAGGAAAAGAAACUAACAAGGAUUCCCCUAGUAACUGCGAGUGAAGCGGGAAAAGCUCAAAUUUAAAAUCUGGUGGUCUUUGGCCAUCCGAGUUGUAAUCUGGAGAAGUGCUUUCCGCUCUGGACCGUGUACAAGUCUCUUGGAAUAGAGCGUCAUAGAGGGUGAGAAUCCCGUCUUUGACACGGACUACCAGUGCUUUGUGAUGUGCUUUCAAAGAGUCGAGUUGUUUGGGAAUGCAGCUCAAAAUGGGUGGUAAAUUCCAUCUAAAGCUAAAUAUUGGCGAGAGACCGAUAGCGAACAAGUACCGUGAGGGAAAGAUGAAAAGCACUUUGGAAAGAGAGUUAAACAGUACGUGAAAUUGCUGAAAGGGAAACACUUGAAGUCAGUCGCGUUGUUCAGAACUCAGCCUGGCUUUGGCUUGGUGCAUUUUCUGAAUGACGGGCCAGCAUCAAUUUUGACUGUUGGAUAAAGGCCAGAGAAAUGUGGCUCCUUUGGGAGUGUUAUAGUCUUUGGUUGCAUACAAUGGUUGGGAUUGAGGAACUCAGCAUGCCUUUAUGGUCGGGGUUCGCCCACGUUCAUGCUUAGGAUGCUGGCGUAAUGGCUUUAAAUGACCCGUCUUGAAACACGGACCAAGGAGUCUAACAUGCCUGCGAGUGUUUGGGUGGAAAACCCGAGCGCGCAAUGAAAGUGAAAGUUGGGAUCUCUGUCGUGGGGAGCACCGACGCCCGGACCAGACCUUCUGUGACGGAUCCGCGGUAGAGCAUGUAUGUUGGGACCCGAAAGAUGGUGAACUAUGCCUGAAUAGGGUGAAGCCAGAGGAAACUCUGGUGGAGGCUCGUAGCGAUUCUGACGUGCAAAUCGAUCGUCAAAUUUGGGUAUAGGGGCGAAAGACUAAUCGGAACCUUUUUUCU
rnacentral:rRNA from 1 species